rnacentral:rRNA from 1 species
CAAUAAGCGGAGGAAAAGAAACCAACAGGGAUUGCCUCAGUAACGGCGAGUGAAGCGGCAAAAGCUCAAAUUUGGAAUCUCAGUCUUUCAGGCUGCGAGUUGUAAUUUGAAGACGUAUUUUGAAGUAAGCACAUGUCGAAGUUCCUUGGAACAGGACGUCACAGAGGGUGAGAAUCCCGUGCGAUGUGUUCACUGCUUCAUGUAAAAUGCAGUCGAAGAGUCGAGUUGUUUGGGAAUGCAGCUCUAAGUGGGUGGUAAAUUCCAUCUAAAGCUAAAUAUUGGCGAGAGACCGAUAGCGAACAAGUACAGUGAUGGAAAGAUGAAAAGAACUUUGAAAAGAGAGUGAAAAAGUACGUGAAAUUGUUGAAAGGGAAGGGCUUGAGAUCAGACUCGGGCAACCGGGCCAGCAUGGGGUGGGGGAGUAGGAUAACCCUGCAGGAAAGUGGCUUCGCUUCGGUGGAGUGUUAUAGCCUGUAGCUAUACUGCUACCCUCGCCCGAGGACUGCGAACAAGGAUGCUGCG